UGCGUAGGCGGGCUAAUAAGUCAGUGGUGAAAUCUCUCGGCUCAACCGGGAACCUGCCAUUGAUACUGUUAGUCUUGAGUUCGGUUGAGGUAGGCGGAAUGUGUAAUGUAGCGGUGAAAUGCUUAGAUAUUACACAGAACACCAAUUGCGUAGGCAGCUUACUAGACCGACACUGACGCUGAGGCACGAAAGCGUGGGGAGCGAACAGGAUUAGAUACCCUGGUAGUCC
rnacentral:rRNA from 1 species